CUGUGCUUAUCUGCUUUACCUACAAUUUCUGCCAAUCCUCUUUAUAGUUUAUCAAACAUAUCUCCAAGAGAAGGUGGAAACAAGGGAAUAUGAAGAAUAGCAAAUCGUUAUGCAAAUUGAAUUCCAAAUCCAAAAAGCGAAGAUGUUGUACGACACCACAAGUCUGAGAAAAAACAUAGAAAAAUUCAUUGUUGGUAUUCAUUUAUUAUGUAAUUAUUCUUUUUAAGAAUCUUCAAUUGCACAAAACAACUAUAUCUUGUUCUAAAAAAUUGAAAUCCACCACAAAAAUAUUUUCAACUAAUCAAUCAAAAUCUAUUUCACUGGCUUCAUACCGACCUCUUCUUCUUCCAUCUCUCAAGACUUCAAAUUGGAGAUUUGGACUUUUUGGGAGUAAUUGAAUUGGAGACGGCAGCAGAGGAGUUAGAUUCUGGAAUAAGGAUUACCUAAUAACGUGAAUUGGGGAAUUGGAAAGAGGAGAAAAAAGGUUUUGUAACAUAACGUAAGACCCGGUUGGUUCAAGUGCUAAGGGGUCGACGGUUGGGUUAAAAACCCGCAGGUUCAACAGGGUUCCAAUGGGUGGUUUGUCUACCAAUAAAUCUGCCUAACUCAGACCGGAGCUGGGUUGGGAUGAACCGGCCGAUCCGAUUUGGGUUUCAUAACUAUGGACAAUGGACUAUACAGAGUCUUCCUGAGUUUACGCACUUAAUUUCCUCACUUCCUUUAUGGAACCCUGAUGGUAUUGUCAUGUAGACUUCUUAUUAUAGUUCUCCAUCUAAAAAUGCAUUCUUAAUGUGAAGUUGUUGAAGAGGUUAGUCUAGAUUCACAUUUAGGGACAAAAUAACCCGAACUGUAUUUAGUUUUGCCAUCGGUGUGAAUGUUUUUGUGUAAUCGAU
rnacentral:lncRNA from 1 species